rnacentral:sRNA from 1 species
UUUGUCUGCUUUCUUGGACGUUUCCUCCCUAAACUUGGCGGCCUCGUGGCCGCCUUUUUUUUUGCGGCA